UUUGUCCCUUUGGGACUGGCUUAUUUCACUCAGCAUGAUGUGUUCCAGAUUCCUCCAUUUUGUUGCAAAUGACUGGAUUUUGUUGUUUCUUACUGCGGUAUAGUAUUCUAAAGAGUACAUAUCCCAUAAUUUCUUUAUCCAGUCUACCGUUGAUGGGCAUUUAGGUUGGUUCCAGGUCUUAGCUAUUGUGAAUUGAGCUGCAAUAAACAUUAGGCUGCAGACCGCUUUUUUGUUUGCCAAUUUAAAUUCCUUUGGGUAAAUUCCAAGGAGUGGGAUGGCUGGGUCGAACGGUAGGGUUAUCUUCAGGUUUCUGAGGAAUCUCCAGACUGACUUCCAUAGUGGCUUGACCAGUUUGCAUUCCCACCAACAGUGGGUUAGUGUCCCUUUUUCCCCACAACCUCGCCAGCAUCUGUUGUUGGUAGAUUUCUGAAUGUGAGCCAUUCUAACCGGGGUGAGGUGAAACCUCAUUGUGGUUUUGAUUUGCAUUUCCCUGAUUGCUAGUGAUGCUGAACAUUUUUUCAUGUGUCUGUUGGCCAUUUGAUUUCUUCGUUUGAAAAAUGUCUAUUGAGGUCCUUGGCCCAUCUCUUAAGUGGGUUGUUUGUUUUGUUUUUGUGGAGUUUCUGGAGUUCUUUGUAGAUUCUGGUUAUUAACCCUUUGUCUGUUGCAUAGUUUGCAAAUAUUUUUUCCCAUUCUGUCGGUUGUCUCUUCACUUUCCUGACUGUUUCUUUUGAAGUACAGAAACUUCUCAGUUUGAUGCAAUCCCAAAUGUUAAUUUUGGCUUUGAUUGCCUGUGCCUCUGGGGUCUUUUCCAAGAAGUCUUUGCCGGUAUCUAUAUCUUGCAGGGUUUCUCCAAUGUUUUCUAAUAAUUUGAUGGUAUCGGGUCAUAGAUUUAGGUCUUUAAUGCAUGUUAAGUGGAUUUUUGCAUAAGAUAUAAGGUAAGGGUCUUGCUUCAUGAUUCUGCACGUGGAAAUCCAGUGUUCCCAGCACUGUUUAUUGAAUAGACUGUCCUUACUCCAGGGAUUGGUUUUGGAUCCUUGAUCAAAUAUAAGUUGGCUGUAGAUGUUUGGAUUGAUUUCUGGUGUUUCUAUGCUGUUCCAUUGGUCUAUCCUUCUGUUUCUGUACCAGUACCAUGCUGUUUUGAUUACAACUGCCCUGUAGUACGUCCUGAAAUCUGGUAUUGUGAUGCCUCCAGCUUUGUUUUUGUUGUACAAGAUUGCUUUAGCUAUUCGAGGUCUCCUGUGUCUCCAUAUGAAUUUCAGCAUCAUUUUUUCCAGAUCUGAGAAGAAGGUCUUCGGUAUCUUGAUUGGUAUUGCAUUGAAUCGAUAAAUUGCUUUUGGGGGAAUGGACAUUUUGAUGAUAUUGAUUCUUCCAAUCCAUGAGCAUGGAAGAUUUUUCCAUUUUUUGGUUCUCUCUUCUAUUUCUUUCUUUAAGGUUUUGUAAUUUUCAUCGUAGAGAUCUUUAACUUCCUUGGUUAAGUUUAUUCCAGGGUAUUUGAUUGUUUUUGUAGCUAUUGUGAAUGGGAUUGAUCUUAGAAGUUCUUCCUCAGCCGUGGCAUUGUCUGUGUAUAUAAAGGCUGUUGAUUUUGUGCAUUGAUUUUAUACCCUGCUACUUUGCCAAGCUCUUCUAUGAGUUCCAAUAGUCUCUUAGUAGAGUUCUUUGGAUCCCCUAAAUAAAGAAUCAUAUCAUCUGCAAAGAGGGAUAGUUUGAGUUCUUCCUUCCCAAUUUGUAUCCCUUUCAUUUCUUUUUCUUGCCUAAUAGCUCUGGCUAAAACUUCCAGACCUAUAUUGAAUAGCAGUGGUGAGAGUGGGCAUCCCUGUCAGGUAGCAGAUCUCAGUGGGAAUGCUUCCAACUUUUCCCCAUUCAAUAGGAUGUUGGCCGUGGGUUUUUCAUAGAUUGCUUUGAUUGUAUUGAGGAAUGUUCCUUCCAUACCCAGUUUGCUUAGAGUUUUCUUCAUGAAAGAGUGUUGUAUUUUAUCAAAUGCUUUCUCUGCAUCUAUUGAGAUAAUCAUAUGGUUUUUAUUCUGCCGUCUGUUAAUGUGGUGUAUCACAUAGAUUGAUUUGCGAACACUGAACCAUCCCUGCAUACCCUGGAUAAAUCCCACUUGGUCUGGGUGGAUGAUCCUUCUGAUUUCUUGUUGCAUUUUAUUGGCCAGAAUUUUAUUGAGGAUUUUUACGUCUAUAUUCAUCAGGAUAAUUGGUCUUUAAUUCUUUCUCUGCUACAUCUUUUUCAGGUUUAGGAAUUAAAGUGAUGCUGGCUUCAUAGAAAGAAUUUGGGAGGAUUUCCUCUUUUUAAAUUGUUCUGAAUAGUUUGAGAAGAAUUGGAGUUAGUUCUUUUAAAGAUGUCUGGUAGAAUUCAGCAGUGAAUCCAUCCAGUCCUCGGCUUUUCUUUGUUUGGAGGGCCUUUAUUGCUGAAUCAGUUUCUGACUCGGUUAUGGGUCUGUUUAGGUUUUCCGUGUAUUAAUGGUUCAAUCUAGGUAGGUUGUAUGUGUUCAGGAAUCUAUCCGUUUCUGAUAGAUUUCCCUGUUUGGUGGCAAAAAACUCUUUGUUGUAAUUUCUGGUGACUCCUUAUUUCUGUGGUGUCUGUUAUAUUCCCUUUUUCUUCUCUGAUUUUAUUGAUUUGGGUCUUCUCUCUCCAUUUUUUGGUAGUUGGGCCAAUGGUGUGUCAAAAUUUUGUUUGUUUUGAAACACCGCUGUUCAUUUUGCUGAUCUUUUGUAAUUUUUUUAAUUCAAUUCUAUUGAUUUCUUCUAAUAUUCUGGGUCCUGCGCUGUGGCGCAAUGGGUUACAGCCCUGGCCUGAAGCGCUGGCAUCCCCUAUGGGCACUGGUUCUAGUUCCAGCUGCUCCUCUUCCGAUCCAGCUCUCUGCUAUGGCCUGGGAAAGCAGUAGAAGAGCCCAAGUCUUUGGGCCCCUGCACCCACAUGGGAGAGCCGGAAGAAUCUCCUGCCUGGCUUUGAGUCGGUGCAGCUCCGGCUGUUGUAGCCAUCUGGGGAUUGAACCAGCGGAUGGAAGACCUCUCUCUUUCUACCUCUCUCUGUAACUCUGUCUUUCAAAUAAGUAAAGUAAAUCUUAAAAAAAAAAAAUGUUCAUUAUAGGGUAUUUGGGGAGAUAGUUAUUGUUUAUUAUUUCAAAUGGAAGCAGACAUAUGGGAAAGUAAGCAUAAAUACCAAAGUUUAGAGUACUAAGUGAAACUGAGUUUUUGCCAUGGCAGGGAGGGGGUGGAAAUCCCUGAUUAUCCUUGGUAGGAAUCUCAAGUUGGAAUUGGUACUAAUUUGACCAUUAUCCUCAAACUAUUUUUAAAAUAUGAAUGUGUGUGUCUGUGUAUGUGUGUGAAUUUGAAAGGCAGAAAGAGACUGACAAGGAGUGAUCUCUCAUCAACUAAUUCACUCCCCAAAUGCCCACAGUUACCAGGGAUUGGCUAUGAUGAAGUCAGGAGUCAGGAACUAAAUCCUCGUCUCUGAUGUAGGUGGAAAGGACCCAGCUAUUUGAACCAUCAUCUGCUGCCUCCCAGGAAAUGUAUCUGCUGAUUCACUACCCAAAUGGCUGCAAUGUCUGGGGCUAGGCCUGGCGGAAGCCAGGCGUCCACAGAGUUCCAUCUGGGUCUCCCACAUGGGAGUCAGGGGCCCAAGUAAUCAUUUGCUGCUGCUGCUGCUUUUUUAAAGAUUUAUUUAUUGUAAAGGCAGAGUAAUGGAAAGGAAGAGACACAGUGUGAAAAACAUAUUUUAUCCACUGGUUCACUCCCCCACAAUAGCUAGGGCUGGGAAAAGCCAAAGCAGGAGAUGGAAACCAGAGCAGCCAAGACUCUCUCGCUCCAUGGCAUGCCAGCAAUGCGUGGGCAGCUUAUUGUGUCAUAACACCAGUCUCUAUUAACAUGUUUGAUCAGCUGAUUUUUUUCCCAUAAACCACCUUUUAGUAAUUCCUCAGAAUAAUUAUAGUUCACUUUGAUCAAUGAAUGAUUGCCUGUUUAUAAGCAUUUGUGUGCAUAGAUCUACAUAAAUUAUGUCAGAUUGAUAAAGAUUUCUUAGUUGAAUUCUGCAAAGUCCUUGGUCUUUGAAUACACAGAUAUUAAUGGAGAACUAACUUUUAAGAAUUUGACAUAUUAUUGAAGUAUUCUAUCCAAAAAAGCAGUGUCUACCAAAUCCUUACGUUUCCUAAUAUAAACACAUUAAUAAGUAAGCUUUGUUUUGCAGGCAGUUAUUUCUUAUCAGUGAAUUACUGUUGGGAGGAAGGGGGAGGUAAAAGCCAGUGUGGAGUUGCUGGUGGCAAUUUAAUUAAGUUCCUUUAUAAGUGAUUCAAGCAUGAGAGCUGAAUUUUCUAUAAAUUUAAAUUUGCUGUUAAUCUCUUGUGGUGAUUAUCCUUUCUGGGUUUCUAGGUUUCAUUUUUUUCUUGUUCUAGUGAAACCCUUACAACAUUUUUUGUUCACCUGGUUAAAGAAUGUUGUGUUUAUCUCAUCUGGGAGUUGGGUAUGUGAGGAACAAAUGAUUGGAUGAGGACAGUUUUUAUUUAGAAUGCUAAGCUAAGGGUAAAAUUCAUAUUGGUUCACCUUAAGCAGUAAUAAGAUGUAUUAUGUGUUAAGCAGUAUGCUAAGCACUUGACCUUCCCUGUGGCAUGGAGGCGAUUGGGAGUGCAUGCUAGAAAGCAAAAGAUGAGAAGAAACAGGCACUGACUCUUCAGGUCAUGAUUUUGUCAUUUUAGUAAUAAUCUGUAUAGCAUACUAUUAUGUUGCAGUGUAUUUGUGACUCUGGUAGCAGCAGAUUCUUUCUAUUUGUAUGAUUAUUGUCCUUUCUUGGUAGAUGAUUCAUUACUGUGCUUUAAAAUCUGCAGUACACUGGGAUCAUGUUUCAUGAACUGUAUUUCAAGCACCAUUUGUUCUGCAAAAUGUGGAUAGUGGUAAAAAAAAAAGGGGGCGGGGGAGAAUCCUGUAUUCUGAAA